rnacentral:misc_RNA from 1 species
GGAAGUAAAAGUUGUAACAAGGUUUCCGUAGGUGAACCUGCGGAAGGAUCAUUAUCGUACAAAAUGUGAGGGGCAUGCGAGGGCUGUCGCUGACCCAAAAGUCGUGCACGCCCGAGUGUGUCCUCUUGCAUAAUAAUCCAUCUCACCCUUUGUGCAUCACCGCGUGGGCACCCUUCGGGAUCAUCUCGGAGGGGGGCUCGCGUUUUCACACAAACCCCCCUUAUAAAAGUGUAGAAUGACCACAUUUAUGCAAUCAAUACAACUUUCAACAACGGAUCUCUUGGCUCUC